GCACGUCGUACGCUGCCGGGCCGUCUAUCCGGCAGUGGAGGUCGUGCCACGGCUGCCUUGGACCACCAUGAUCGAUCGUUCCCUGGUUUUCCAGCUCAACCAACGAUGUGUUCUUUUGCUUACAGUGAAAGUCGGGUUGUGGUAGUCGUCCCUGUGGAUGCUGCCAAGCGUUUUGAACAACGGAUGCUCAGGCGUGUCGUAUCGUCCUUGCGCGAGGUCCAGCCCACCUAUGAAAGACAACGUUCCGACAACCUGGGAAAAGAUCGAGACGAAGAGUCAAAAGGAAAGAAAAAGACAAAAGCCGCGAAGUCUCACCCUUUGCUUGAGCCAACUCA